UACGGAGGAUGCGAGCGUUAUCCGGAUUUACUGGGUGUAAAGGGAGCGUAGGUGGCGUGCCAAGUCAGGAGUGAAAACCCAGGGCCCAACCCUGGGACUGCUCUUGAAACUGGCAGGCUUGAGUGCUGGAGAGGUAAGCGGAAUUCCUAGUGUAGCGGUGAAAUGCGUAGAUAUUAGGAGGAACACCAGUGGCGAAGGCGGCUGUCUGGUCUGCAACUGACGCUGAGGCUCGAAAGCAUGGGUAGCGAACAGG
rnacentral:rRNA from 1 species